rnacentral:snRNA from 1 species
UUUCUUACUCUCAAAAGAUUUAA